rnacentral:rRNA from 1 species
UACGUAGGGAGCAAGCGUUGUCCGGAAUCAUUGGGCGUAAAGCGCGCGUAGGUGGCUUCGUAAGUCCGCUGUGAAAGUCAAAGGCUCAACCUUUGAAAGCCGGUGGAUACUGUGGAGCUAGAGUCCGGAAGAGGCGAGUGGAAUUCCUGGUGUAGCGGUGGAAUGCGCAGAUAUCAGGAGGAACACCAAUUGCGAAGGCAGCUCGCUGGGACGUUACUGACGCUGAGACGCGAAAGCGUGGGGAGCAAACAGG